CCCACCAAAUAACUAACAAUAAAAUCCUACUGUUAUCAAUUAUCACAUAAUUAAAAUUUCUUUCAAAAUCCAAGGAACACUCGAAGAGAAAGAAGAGAAGGAUGAGAGCUCACCGAAACCCUAAAGCUCUCCAUCGCCAUCUCUAUCGCCACCAUCGCCGCCAUCGCCGCCGCUAAAGUUAAUCUCCUUUCUGCUUCUGCUAUAAAGCUACUGAAAUCGAGCCAAGGCGCUUCCUUCAUCAACGCGUUUUCAGAUCUAAUUGCAACGCCCAAGCCUCUGAGAUCGAGAGAAAUCGCUUCUUCGGUUAACUCUCCUUGGCCAAUGACGCUCGUGUUCUCCGUCGAUAUUCUAUCCUUUCUGUACGCUCUUCUUUUCACUCAUUUUCAAUUUUUGGUUCUCCUUCUCUUUUUCCUGUUUAUUCGUUUUCUUUGUUUUUAAUUCUCAGAUUCUGAAUGAUUUGUUAUGUGAUAUAAUAUUUGAUGAGUUUUAUUAUCUCUUGGUUGAUAACAUUGUUUCAAAUUCUCAAGCACUCCAAGUGUUCGAUGAAUUGUUUAUUCUCAAGCACUCCAAGUGUCAUGAAAAAUAGGAGAGGAAUGAGAGGCUAUUUUAUAAGUUUCUGAUUGAUAACAUGGAGGAACUGCUUCUUGUUGUUUACACUCCAACUGUUAGAGAAGCCUGCCAGAAAUAUGGAAGCAUUUUUCGUUCUAUACAUUAGAUUGAAAGUGAAGUAUGGUUUUUUAUUUAUAUUUAUUGUUCUGUUUUCAUCAUUUAGCCUUUGAGGUGAAAAAAAAAAGAUAAGAAGAGAUACUAAGUGUUUGAGACUCUACAGAGGCUAGAUCCUUAAAGUAAUGAAAAACUGGCUAGAGAAAAGCACUCAAGUUAUUGUCACUAAUGACAAGCAAAUAUUAGGACUCGGAGAUCUUGGUUGCCAGGCUGUUGUUUUCACAGAUAUUAGUCUUGAGAAAGUUAUUGAGUUCAAUGAUUUUUGCCACACUCAUCAGCUUCCUAUUGCUUUUAUCAAAACUGAAGUUAGAAGUUUUUUUGCAGAGGAAAAGCCAGUUCUGGACUCAGAACUUUGGCAUGCAUGUGCUGGUCUCCUUGUUUCUUUACCUGCAGUUGGGAGCCAUGUGGUGUACUUUUCACAAGGUCAUAGUGAACAAGCGAAGUUUCUAAUAUGUUUCAACUCAAAAUAUUUUCAAGUUGGUUGAUAUUUUGAAGUGUAUUGAGGCACAGUUAUCUAAUCACAGAUCCUGAUGCGUAAGGAACUUGGCAUCAAAAGGAUUUUCUGGAACACUUUCUCCCUCAAUUGCCAAAUUGAAAUACUUGGUUAGCUUAAGAUGCCUUGCUUCCAAUUCCUAAGGUUUCUAUGAUCUUCUGAGAAAGAGAAAGCAUUUCAAGACUCUUCAGACAAAAAUAUAGCAGAUGGUUUGUUUAGAAUUAGUAAAGCUGAUUCUAUCAAGAAACAAGGUAUGAGAAGGACAUGCUAUAUUGGCUGCAGUCACAAUGUGACUGUAGAAGAAGAUGAGCAACUAAGACAACUGAAGUCAGUCACUGGAAGGAGAGAGAGAUUAAUGGGACCGAGAGGAGAUUGUUUGGAGGCUGCUCGUUAACUCCUAGCUUCCCUGUUACUUAGAGCACUUGGUUAAUGCAGGAUGAAUUUUGUUAAACUUGUUGACCAAUUAUAUGAUAUUUUUAGUAUGGUUGAAAAAUAUACUCCCUAAAGGUUUUCUAGGAUUGCAUUCAUAUUUUUAUUUUGAGAUUUUUAUGUAAUUAGAUGAUAUUGAAAUAUUGAAGUUGUUUUAUUUUACUUUUUAAAGAAAAACAAUAAUAGUUAUGUAAAGGAAUAUCAUAUGGAAUUAUGUUUGGAACUA